CGCGUGAGCAACCUGCCCAUAAGAGGGGGAUAACAGCUGGAAACGGCUGCUAAUACCGCAUAAGACCACAUUGCCACAUGGCAGAGGGGUCAAAGAUUUAUCGCUUAUGGAUGGGCUCGCGUCUGAUUAGCUAGUUGGUAGGGUAACGGCCUACCAAGGCGACGAUCAGUAGCCGACCUGAGAGGGUGAUCGGCCACACUGGAACUGAGACACGGUCCAGACUCCUACGGAAGGCAGCAG
rnacentral:rRNA from 1 species